rnacentral:tRNA from 1 species
GGAGUCGUCGUAUAGCGGGCUAUUACAUCGGACUUUUAAUCCGAAAAACGUGGGUUCGAAUCCCUCCGACUCUA